rnacentral:snoRNA from 1 species
GCCGAGGCUAGAGUCACAUCUGGGCACUGUCUGUUGUCCUGGUGUGCUAGAGUACUCGGACAGUAACCACUAAUCUCUAUUCACUGGCUGUGACCAUGCUUGACUCAGUCAGUCACCAGGUUAGUGACAGGA